AAGACAUUUCAACACGAACUUUUAAGAAUAUUAUCAUAAUAAAUUGCUCCAUUAUAUCCUCUGAAGAGGAACAAUGAAGGUAAGUACUAUAAUUUUUUUUUUUGAUAGUAUCCAAAAAAAAUGUGCAAUAAACUCAUCAAAAGUUAAUUUUGCUGAUUAUUAUUUUUGUUUUCCUUUUUUUGGUGCUACUAAUGCAGAAAAAAGUUGUCAUUAAGGUUUCUAUUAAUGGAAACUCCCAUUCCAUCCUGAAGAAGUUUCUUAUGGAUUUUUUGAAGCUAAAGUACCUUGCCAAAUGUUGGGGGAACAAUUAUCAAGAUUCUAGAUCCAAAAACCAGAGCAAGGUCUUGUUAAUUGCAGCAAAAAUACCAGGUAACAAUAUAGUAGUAGUAAUAAUAAUCCCUGUUUUUAAGCCUUAGUUUGGGAGCCGCUGUAACUAGCAUUCUAACGCUGAGUGUGACGAACAUUUCUGGAGUGAACUACCUUUAUUUGCUUUCUCUACUUUUCGCAAAGAUUUACUAGCGACUGCUUCGAUAAGAUUAAUCUGGGACUGUAAUAACUCUCUUUAAUUUACUGCCUAAUAAUAAAUUCAGCGUCUUUUGGCAAAAAUAAAAAAAAAAUAAAAAAUAAAGCCUUAGUACCACUUUUUUAAUUAUAUAUUUUGUAAGUUUUUAAUUUCCACAUUUACGUUUUAUCCAUAAUGACACCCUAUUAUAUAAAUAACAUGACAUAUUUAAAAUCACAACAUUCAAAUAUUAUUUUCAUUAUACUAUACAAACCUUUAGUACAAGAUUAUAAAAUUGAAAAUUUUAUUUUAUAUUCUUAAAUUUCAUGCAUGGUCAAAUUAAGAUAGAUGAAAUGAAAAGAAACUAGAGUGUAUAUUACAUCUAGUAUGACUGCAUGUUACAAUUAAUUGAUAUGGUACUGGAGACAUAUACAUAUCAAUGAUUAUAUAGGCGGACCUAGGAAUCGACGGUCGCGGGACACUAUGACAUUCAUUUAAAUUUAUCACUUUUCAUAAAGAUUUGUACGGGAUUCUAUACUAAUAACUAACUAUUUUUUGAAGACAUUUACAAGUAUACAUGGAGUUUUUGCCAAAGUUUUCGGGUGUCAGUCACCCCUCAACCUAUAAUUUGCAUCUGCCUAUGUCAAUGAAGUAUUUACACAUACUUUGCAUGAGAGAAAGAAUCAGAUCCACACAACAACAACAACAACAACAACAACAACAACAACAACAAUAACAAUAACAAUAACAAUAACAACAACAAAAACAAAAAUAACAAUAAAUCUAGUAAAGUCUUAUAAGUUGAGUCCGAGGAGGGUAGUGUAUAUGCAAACCUUAUCCAUGUCUUGUAAAGGUAAAAACGUUGUCUCUGAUAGACCAUCCGCUUAAAAAAAAUGCAUCAUCACCACGGUUAAAAUAAGAAACUACGACAAAGGAGAAUCCAUCCGUCAGAAAAAGGUAACCGAAGCAAAAGCAAUACAAGUCCAAAAUCUAAAAAUAGGAAAUACGAGAAUACACUCGUAUUACAGACAGUGGCAGAGCCACAUGCACCCACCGACACCCUUUUGUCAGAAAAUUACACCGUUUAAUGAUACCCCUUAACUUUUUGGUGAAUUUAUUUCUUUAUAUUUUGACUCCUUUAAUAAAAAUUCUGGCUCCGCCACCGCCACCGCCACCGCCACUGAUUACAGAUAUAGAAAAGCAAUACAAGUACGAAAAAAAUUAGCUUUCUAACCUAUUGCCCUAAUCGGAUCCACAAGAGGGAUUGUUCUGAUGGUAAGCAACCUCCACUUCCAACCAAGAGGUUGUGAGUUCGAGUCUACCCAAGAGCAAGGUGGGAAGUUCUUGGAGGGAAGGAUGCCGAAGGUCUAUUUGGAAACAGCCUCUCUACCCCAGGGUAGGGGUAAGGUCUACGUACACAUUACCCUCCCCAGACACCACUAAGUAGGAUUAUACUGGGUUGUUGUUGUUGUUGGAUCCACACGUAAACGAUAACAUUGGCUAACUUGAACAUUUGCAGGGGUAGAGAAAGUAGCUAUAGAAGGUGAAGAAAAGAAUGAGCUAAUGGUGAUCGGUGAGGAAAUUGAUGCAGCAGAGUUGGUCACUAUACUUAGGAAGAAAGUAGGUUUUGCCAACAUUGUGAGUAUUGGUCCAGUUGAUGAUGAAAAGAAAGAAGAAAAACAGAAAGAAGAAGUUGCAAACUCAAUAUCCCCAUUGGUCUAUGGCAAUGGAUUAAUACCCCCUUUUCAAAUUUGGGAAGUUAGAUAUCCCACCUAUUGCUCCAUUUUGUGAUCAUUUGUUUAACUUGAAAUAUUAAUUAUGCAGCAAAUUGUUAAUCUGAGCUGAGGGUCUCCCGGAAACAGCUCGUCUGCGUACACUCUACCCUUCCCGGACCCCAUUAGUGAGAUUUUACUGGGUUGUUGUUGUUGGUAUUUUGUAAUGAGAGAUAUAUGCAUGUUUAGGGGCGGAGGUAGAACACAAGUUACGGGUUCGGCUUAGCCCAGUAGCUUUAAUCCAAGCCCUAUAUUUAUCUUAAGAAAUUAUUGAAUAUAUAGAAAUUAUUACUUCUUCCGUUUCAAUUAUUACUAGCUACACGCUAGAUUAAAAAUACAAAUCAAACAUUGGAUAAAAUGAUACAAUACCAGUAUAAAUUUUAUACUUAAAUGAUGGUAUUAGUUAUUCCACGUAAGAGGUCGGAUAGUUAAUCUCAUGGAAUAUCCUAAGAUUAUAAUCUCAUGGAUAGUUAUUCGACCCUUGUUUUUUUGAGCCGAGGGUCUCCUGGAAACAGCCUCUCUAUCCUUCGGGGUAGGGGUAAGGUCUGCGUACAUAUUACCCUCCCCAUACCCCACUUGUGGGAUUAUACUGGGUCGUUGUUGUUGUGAUAUACCAGAACUGAAACGUACCCAACAACUUCAUCUUUUACCUUAAAUCAAACGAAUCCAUGAAAAUUAGGGGGAAAAAAUAGCGUACUUAUUAGUAAAUUAAAGUAAUUUAUGCCAUGCCUAACAUAACCCUAGUUUCUAUUUAUAAGCACGGAGCACCCCAUUUUUUUUUAGUUAAAUAUAGUAACACUAGAGAGUAAGAUUCUUCAUUUAAUAUAUUGUGGAGAUUUGAUGAUUGAUUAAAGUGGAAUUUGACCUCCAUAUAAUGCAUAAAACGAAUAAAAAGAAUGAUUUUUGGCUCGUAAAUUAAACCACACCAUUUUCCUACAUUAUAUAUAGCAUGUAAUAAUGUAUGGUAAAGUCUCACAUUAUUUGAGGCAUGUAAUAAGUAUGUAUUUCUAAACGUAGAUAGAAGAAUCCCGAAUGAAUAACUAACCGAUUCAUUUAAUUAAGAGAGUUUAUGAUUGAUCCAAUUUGGUUCUUCACAUACUUAGCGGCGGAGCUAGCAUGCUGGUUAUGAGUUCGGCCGAAUUCAAUAACUUUAGUCCAAAAUUUAUAUUUUUUCUAAAGAAAUUCAUUAAAAAUUUAGGGCCUUAAAAGUUGGAAAUUAGGAUUGACUUUCUUCCUCUUUAGGUUCAAGCUAGCUCUCAUACAAUUCUCAAUCUUUGCACUAGACUCAGUGAAAUUGAUAGAGUUGAAUUGACCAAAAAAUCAUUAAUAAAAAAGGAAGUCUUUUGAGUGAUAACAAAUUUUAUCUAAGGCCAACUAAAAAUAACAUUUAAAAAUAUAGUAAAGUACAAAAGAUUAAAGAUAAUAUAUUCAUAAUUUUUUUAAAACUCAAAUUAAAAAGUGCAGGAAUUUGAUUAACUAUCUAGGAAUAGUAAUAUAUAAAUAUAAUAAUGUCAUAAGUCACUAAAUUUAUAAUUUUAGAACGAAAUAUUGUAUAAAUUAUAAUCAAAUAUUUUUUAAAAAAAUCUAAGAAUAAAAUAUUUGAGACAUAUAGAGCCAGAUAAUCCAAAAAAAAAAGUACUUGUUUUUUUUUUUCUGAUUGUUAUGACGGUAGACAUUUGAUUAUUAUAUUUAUAAUAAUUCUGUGUACUUGGCUCAAUUGGUAUAAGCUAACUCUUUGGAGCAGUGGCGGAUUUAGAGGGAAAAAAUAGGGUACGUGAACCUAUGAUCUUUCCGAAAAAUUAAAUAUUUAUGUAACAUAUAUUUUAAAAUUGGUAUAAUAUUAACUGUUGGCAUCCGUAUUUUAAAAAGUUGAAUGGUGCACUUGGUUGAAGGUUGAGUUAUUUACUAAGAGGAAGACGGAUCAAUUCUCACUUAAUACGUUGCACCCCUUAAGUUUAUGAAAUCACUAAUGAGCCUACCCAAAAAAAUUGUGAAGAAAAUAAUCGAAAAGGAACACUCUAGCCCUCCCCUCCCCCCUCCCAACCCCCCCCCCCCCCAAAAAAAAAAGAAGAAGAAUCCUCUAAUCUCAGGAGUGGAAUUAGUGUAUCGAUUACGGGUUCGAUCUAACUUGAUAACUUUUGUUCAAAUCAAGUAUUUGACUAUAUAAAAAUUAUUAAUUUAGAAUUCAAUAAUUUAAAAAGAUUCAUAAGCUUCAAAUCCUGACUCCGUUUGCACUCCUAAAAAUGCAAAUAGUAUUACUCCAUUAUCUAGAAUGGUUGGACCUUCACCAUUAGUAUACUGGUAGAAACUUCUGAAUAGAAAGUCUGAAUACAUCACAAAGGUGGUAUAUAAUGUAAAGUUUCAAAUUUUGUCUAUAACGGUGUACAAAAUAUAUAUACACUUAGGGGUUGUUUGGUUGCUAGCUAGGGUUACAAAGGUAUAAGCUAAGUAAUACAGAGAUUAGUUAUAUAUACAUGAAUUAGUUUUGCAUGAAUAAGUAAGUAAGGGUUAGUUAUGCAUGAUUUAGUUAUUCGGGAUUUAGUUGUUUCAUCUUCUACCACACAUAAAAUAAUACAUAAAUUAACGUACUCAUAACUUGAUAGGUUAUGUGACCUGCUAUGUUUUGAUGAUCUAACAAACUUAAAGAACCAGAUGGGGAAGCUGUUCCACAUCCUCAAGUGCUCAAGAAUAACAAGUCUUAAGUCCGUUACAUGCCUCAACAAUUCAGAGUCAAAAAAACGACAGAGGAAACAAAUGGACAUUAGUUCCCUUGCUGACUGUACUAAGUCAAUUUCCCACAGGUUGUAAAGCUGCUGCAACUGUCCUCUGCACGCACGCAACACCAUAAACAGUGCAACAGUCACUUUAGGGGAAUGCCUUUGUACCAAAUAAUGCUUGCAUCAUCUGUAACACCCCACAUUUUUACUAAUAUUUGCGUUCUUGAUUGAGCAUCUUUAUAUUGAGGAGAUAUUUUACUUCGCACUUCCUAAUGAAAUUAACAUUAUACGAAAAUUUCUUACUUUAGAUUGUGCUAAUAUUGACAAAGAAGUCCAUGAUAUUGCUAUGUGUAACACUUAAUAUUAUUUUGAUGAAUUAUUAUUAAUACACUAUAUAAUUAAGGUUUUGGGCUGCCACCCUUUUGUAUUUAUCUAAAUAUAUUUAGUAGGUUGGGUAGCCACAUUUUUCAUAUUUAUCAAAAGUUUAGAUAUUACCUUGGUAGACAUGUUUUUCCAUACCCUCCUCUCAUAUUUUAUUUUUUCAAGACAAAGAAAACCCCUACCCUCUCUCCUUCUUAUCACCUAAAAAAUUCAUGAAAACUAUCAUAAAUUUCCACUAAACCAACCAGCAAAAUUCGUUCUUGGGGAAGCUCAAUUGCUCCUCUCUUUUGUGGUAAGUUACUAAACCCGUUUUACACUAGACAACUAUUAGUAUUUUCUUCAUAUCAUUUUGUAUAGAGCGUCGUUUUAAGUGAUCCAAGACUUUCUGGAAAGCUAUUUUAUAGAUCUACAAUUCUUAUGCAGGAACCAAAACCUAGUUUGUCUUUAUUUACCCAAAAAUAGGUGAUGAAGUACAGGGAAGGUGUUGUCCUGAUUUUCUGUUUUACAAACCCUCCCUAUACUACUAUUAGUAAUUUUAGCAUAAUUGUUUGUACAAAAUUGAUAUGGGGGUGAUACAAGAUGUUCAGAAAUGCUAAGACACAUAUCUACAAAUGUAAAGAAGACCACACAAUCUAGUUUGUCCUUUUUUAUCUUCAAAUCUGAGCCACAACACGAAACAGUGAUACUGUCCAAAAUUUCUGUUUCAAAAAUUUUGGGUAAUUUUCAACAAUAUCAUAUUUAGUUAUACAUGUUAAAUCACUGAACUUAUAUAGAUAUUUGAUUAUGUAUUUAAGAUAUAUAUACCCUUGUAAAAUCUAAGGGGAAGUGUUUGAGGAAGUGGACAGAUUUGAUUUGUCUAUGGCGUAGACGAUUCGAACAUCGUCAAGUUGUGGUUGAACUGUUUUGUGGUAAAAUACCAAGGUUUGUGUAUAAACUUUAUACUCUUUUUACUUACUGGAAUAUUUUGAAAUAACCUAAUAUUUUGUUUUUUCUUGUCUUCAAUUAAUAGCAUUGUAUUUGUGUUAUAUCAAGUAUUGUAAGAUAUUUGCUAAAUCGCCCACUCGUACGGAUUUGCUUAAUCAUUUUGCAUUCUUGUUGGGAUUUUGUCCUUAUUGUGGCAGUGACUUUGUCACUUAUCUUGGCAUGCCUCUUGAUUUGGAUCUUUUGCCAUCUUGACUUUGGGUUCGUAGUUCGUCUUAAAUUAUGGAACUUGUCUAUGUUAAGUACGAACUAGGAAGCCAUUUUUAAUAUGGUUCUUGAUUCUCUUGACUAUUGGGUUUGACCCUACUUGAUUUGGGGAUUCGAUCCAUCUUGAUAUCUUAUUAUACUUAGUGUGAUGGCAUGACGUACAUAUUGGAGAAAAAAAUGGAUAUGUGGCAAACUCUCUUGGAUUGAUAGUAUACGCUUUCUCGACUCUUGAACAUUGUUAUUGAUAUUUGGAAAUGCUUCAAGGUUUGAUAUUUGAUACUUUUGAUAUAUUUGUUCACUUAUUUUAAAUUAUAUUAAAUUUGAGCUGCCUAUGACUGAAAAGGGGAAUUGGAGAAUUUAAUUGCUCCAAGCCCAAAGUUUAUACGCCACUAAGCUUUAUGCUUAGCGAUAAUUGUUUUCUAUCAUAGGUAAUGUACGGAAUGAAACUUGAAGACGGUCUUAUGAAGUAGUCUUUUUGGGAGCACUUAUGGAGAUCACAUUUGCAUAUGCACCUUAGUUUGUAUACUUUUGGGACAU
rnacentral:lncRNA from 1 species